rnacentral:rRNA from 1 species
AGCAGUCGCCACGGUAAUACGGAGGGUGCAAGCGUUAAUCGGAAUUACUGGGCGUAAAGCGCACGCAGGCGGUCUGACAAGUCAGAUGUGAAAUCCCCGGGCUUAACCUGGGAACUGCAUUUGAAACUGUCAGGCUGGAGUCUUGUAGAGGGGGGUGGAAUUCCAGGUGUAGCGGUGAAAUGCGUAGAGAUCUGGAGGAAUACCGGUGGCGAAGGCGGCCCCCUGGACAAAGACUGACGCUCAGGUGCGAAAGCGUGGGGAGCAAACAGGAUUAGAUACCCCUGUAGUCCCUGUCUCUUAUAU